rnacentral:piRNA from 1 species
UGAAAUUAGCUACCUAGGCAAGUCCA